UUCGUCAACAUUUUCAAUUUAACGACAAAAACAAUAAAAUAUAACAUUUUAUCUCUUUAUUAUUAACUUAUUAGUACUCUUUGGUAUUUAUUCGAGUAAGCGAGCUACAAAAAUUUGGAAAGUAUAUACAGUUGCAUGCUUUAAAGUUUGCAUACCUUUAGGCACUGAACCAAUUUAGUCGUUUUACGAGUAGCCACACACUACGGAAAUAUCACAGUGGGCCAAGAAAGCUUUUACUGAAAUAUUAAGUCAUGUAAGGUACUUUGUAAAGAGAAGAUCGCUCAUCCUGCUGGGAUGACAAGCUUGUAUAAAUUGUCUGUUGAUUACAGAAAUUGUGGAUAGUACCAAGCGUGUGGCAAGCAUUUAUAUACAUAUGUACAUAUACAGAUAUUUUCGCAGCUGAUUCUUCUUAUGUGGUCGCUCCCAAUUGACUUUUUCGAAGAGAUUAAAUUGUUUUCAUUUUAAAAUGAGCACUGCAUGGGAGGGCAUUAUGUCAUCUGAGUAACAAACAAUUUGAGCUAGAGGAAAACAAGCGAGUAUGGAAUCUUCGUUGCUUGUUUAUAAAUAAAAGCUUUUAUUUACUGCACACACACCUCGGCAACAACACCUUGUUAGCGAGUUAUCACACAUAUAUACACACAUACAUACAUACAUACAAAUAAAUAAAGUGUUGGCUUUUUGUUUAUUAACAAAUUGGCAGUGAUUUCCGCGGCUUUUACGAACACACAAGUAUUGUCCGCUCAGUGUUUAUUUGGUGCUCCACACCGCCGGUUGCUGACAACGAAAACGACAAAAGCGAAACAAAACGUGGCGCAGGAAGAUAACUAGAAAGUCAAAAAACACUUGGAUGCAUGCGAUUUGGCUAUCAUUAUCAAAGUGAUUGCUGCUAUUGUUGUUUCGAGUAAAGUGCCUUCUCAUGCGCUUUUCUAUCGAGCUUGAGGUUAUGUGUUUACAAUUAAUUAAAUUUUCUUUAUUGUGAAAUCAUUGAUACGCAAAAGAGUGGCACAAUUGAGGGAUUGUAAAAAAUUAACAAAUUGUAUUGUUUAAAGAAGCAAUCAAAAUAAAAACAAAACAAAAAUAUUAAAAUAUAAUAAAAUCAAGUGAGCAGUGCCAGUGCUUUUGUCAUGAAUUUAGUGUGGAGAGUGGGCAUUUUUGCUAAGAAUGCAGCAGCAGCCAUAACAACACCAUGCCAUACUGGAUCGAGCACUGGUUUCAGGUAUGCGAGCAUCGCAACAGGUGUCGCAGAGCCCAAAACACAAUUGCCGAACGACAAGCAAACGUCAGCGCCAGCAACAAGAACAAUCGCCGUGGCUAAGCAAGCUCCGAGCUUUGACCAGCAGCGUAUUUCAAAUAAGGCACAGGUUAAGCCGAGAAGCAGUCAACCGUUAACAGAUACUUUUGGACGUAACCACACAUAUCUAAGGAUCUCAUUGACAGAGCGUUGCAAUUUGCGUUGCCAAUAUUGCAUGCCAGCCGAAGGUGUACAACUGCAACCGAAAUCAAAUCUAUUAACCACUAAAGAAAUCCUUUACUUAGCGCGAAUUUUCGUUGAGCAAGGGGUGCGUAAAAUUCGUCUAACCGGCGGUGAGCCAACGGUACGACGCGACAUAGUUGAUAUCAUAGCCCAAAUAAAGUCCAUACCCAAACUGGAGAAUGUUGGUAUUACUACAAAUGGCUUAGUAUUAACACGGCUAUUACUGCCGAUGCAACGUGCCGGCCUGGAUGCGGUGAAUAUCAGUUUGGAUACAUUGCGUCCGAAACGUUUCGAGGAAAUCACAAGACGCAAGGGUUGGGAGCGCGUUGUAGCCGGCAUUGAUUUGGCCAUACAACUGGGCUAUAAGCCGAAGUUGAACUGUGUGCUAAUGCGCAAUUUUAACGAAGACGAAAUUUGCGAUUUUGUCGAAUUUACCAAAGAUCGUGCGGUGGAUGUGCGUUUUAUAGAGUAUAUGCCAUUCACAGGCAACAAAUGGCAAACCGAUCGGUUGAUUUCUUUCAAGGAGUCAUUGGACAUUAUACAGAAAAGAUGGCCUGACUUCGCGGCGCUGCCCAAUGGCCCGAAUGACACAUCAAAAGCGUAUGGCGUACCUGGCUAUAAAGGACAAGUUGGGUUCAUAACAUCUAUGACGGAACAUUUUUGCGGUUCCUGCAAUCGUUUGCGACUCACCGCUGACGGAAAUAUAAAAGUUUGUCUAUUUGGCAAUAAAGAAUUUUCGCUACGUGACGCUAUACGCAAUAAGUGCUCCGAGGACGAUCUGAUUACAUUGAUUGGAACGGCCGUGAGUCGAAAAAAGAAGCAGCAUGCUGGCAUGUUGAAUUUGUCACAAAUGGAAAAUCGUCCAAUGAUACUAAUCGGUGGAUAGUUUUUUGUGCCCUUAAAAAUAUACAAACUUAAAUACUUGCGACCGCGGCUUAAAGAUACGAUUAAGGCAAUUUCAUUCAUGACAAUGUCACAACACAAAUGCAUCAAAACUCUCGCAAAACUUUUGAUAAUCGAAAGCAACAAAUUCUUCAUUCUAAAAGAUUUGGGAACUGUAUUUCAUCUGCAGACACAUUCCCUGUUCAUGCUAAUCUACCGAGCACACAGUCAACAACAAAAUAUCUGACACAAGCACGUCUUUUCGCUACAACGAGCUCAAAUAGUAAUUCUGACAAUAACAGUGCAAAUUUAACGCAUGUUGACGAUGCUGGGAAGGCUCAAAUGGUGGAUGUCACUGCGAAACAAACCAGUGAACGUGUAGCAGAAGCUCGUGCCACCGUAUUAGUGGGACCGAGUAUUGCUCAACUCAUACACACAAACAACAUGCGCAAAGGUGAUGUCCUUAGUGUGGCCCAAUUGGCUGGCAUAAUGGGCGCCAAAAGGACUUCAGAACUAAUACCGCUAUGUCACAACAUUUCCUUAUCCUCCGUAAAGGUUGAGGCGAAGUUAAAUCUUGAAUGUAAUAGCGUGGAACUAUUUGGUCAUGUGAAGUGUACAGGUCAAACGGGUGUAGAAAUGGAGGCACUUACGGCUGUUACAUUAGCCGCGCUUACCGUUUACGACAUGUGUAAAGCUGUCUCACAUGAUAUAACAAUCACGGAUAUAAAACUUUGGAGCAAAAGAGGGGGUAAGAGGUAUUUUGAACGCAGUAAAAAUUAGAUCAAAUUGUUUUUAUAAUAUGAAUAUGUAAAUUACGCUACAUUAACAUUUUAAAAGUAUUACUACUAGUAUCGUAGUAAUGAAAUCAAUGGAUUAUAAAAUGAAAAACUGUUGAAAACCAAUUUUGUUAAUAAAAGAAAAUGUAAAGUCUGAUAUGAACAAAAUAUCCAUUACUUUUGUGGGAUUCCAUUAUUACAAUUAUAUAUAACUUUCACCAAAGAUAUGAAUUUGUUUAGUGAUAAGUUAUGUUAACAUUGCUUUAUAUAUUUCAUAAAAUAUGAACGCUUAUGCAAGGGCGUGAUUAUUAUAUUAACGGUAAUUGUGUUGGGUAUGUUUUUUAUUAGACACAUAGGUAAUUUAAAUAAUUUAAUUAUAAGGUGAGGGAGAAUGUCCAUUCUAUUUUUAGAUAUUAUUACAAAACAUUUUUUUGUUUUUAAAAAAAUAUUUUAAUUAAAUAUACAUAUACAAUUUGAA